GGAGAGGUGGCAGAGUGGUCGAAUGCACUCGACUUGAAAUCGAGAGUUCUGAAAGGAACCCAGGGUUCGAAUCCCUGCCUCUCCG
rnacentral:tRNA from 2 species